UUGUGCGGCAUAGUGGUUUGAGUGUUGCGACUAUGACUCUGGAGGCCAGGGUUCGAAUCCCCACCACAAG